CAAAUAAUAAUAAUUAAAUUAAUUUACUGAGCUUGUUNGAUGUCGACACUCAACAACAACAUAUUGUUUUGAGCUUUCAUAAUUUGUUGAUCACAAUACAUUAUAUUAAUUGAUUAAUAAUUUAUAUGUCUAUUUAAAGGAUGAUAAAAGCAAAAUUUAAGAAAUUAUGGUAUCGGUUUAAAAAUUAUUUCAUAAAUUAUGUAUAUAUACAAAAUGAAACCUAUGAACAUAUGUGUGAUUUAUUACUAGAGCCUUUGUUUAAAAUUGUUGACAAAUAUACAAGCAUUUUUGGAAAAAUUAUGGUUGUUCUAGUGAUUGUAUUAACAACAUUUGUAGUGAUCGUGGCUUAUUGGAUUGGUGUACCAUAUUGGUGGAAUAAUAAUAAAGUUUUAACGGUGUUCUUGUUAAUAUUUGGAAAUUGGUUAUUAAUAAAUGUUAUAUUUCAUUAUUAUAUGGGAGUCACUACACCACCUGGAUUUCCUACUCCAAACAGUUUAAUUUAUAAUGAUGUAAUAAUUUGUAAGAAGUGUGAUUCUCCUAAGCCUCCUCGUACACACCAUUGUUCAAUUUGUAAUAAAUGCAUUCUCAAAAUGGAUCACCAUUGUCCUUGGAUAAACAACUGUGUUGGGUUUUAUAACCACCGUUAUUUUUUUCUCUACAUGGUCUACAUGACAUUAGGCUCAUUAUUUUUGAUAACAUUUGGAGCUGACAUAGUUUUCACAGAAAUAUUCUAUAGAGAAGAGGAACCAGUAGGGCAUCCAAUUAAAGCCAAUACUUCUUUAUCAAAAACAGACUGGGUUUUAACAUUUCAAGAUGAAUAUGAAAACCAAAACUUUGAUAUUGAUCAUUUUGCAGAAUGGAGGUUUUGGUGUAUUAUGGUCAUAACUUUUAUAACAUGUGGAGUUUUUAUCGCCUUAGCUAUUUUAACUAUGUGGCAUGGUCUAUUAAUAAGUUAUGGUGAAACAAGCAUUGAAGGACAUAUAAAUAAAUUUGAAACAGAAAGAUUGUCAGCUAUAAACUUUGAGUAUGUUAAUGUGUAUGAUUAUGGAAUGAAAAUGAAUUGGAUUAUCUUCCUUGGACUUCAUAGUGGAAGGAAUUGGAGGCAUAUUGUAUUUCCUUCAACUCAUAAGCCAAUAGGAAACGGAUUCAUAUGGCCUACCAAAAAUGAUAUAUUUGAAGUGUUUUAUCAUUAUAAACAGUAAAUAUGUAAUCUNAAACACAAUGGCAGUUACCACAACAUCGGUGCAACGUAAAAGUAACUAUGCAAUGUUACAAGUUGAUUUGAAACUUCUCUGAAACAUUUAUGUGAUGGAACAUUGCACAGUGGGAUAUCAACUACCUGGAGCCAAACAAUUUGUUCUAUCCAAGAUAAAAAUGCUGAAACUUUAGUGUAUACACCGGGUGAAUUUUCUGUUGCACACAAUUU
rnacentral:misc_RNA from 1 species